ensembl:lncRNA
CUCAGCCUCAGCCGUUACGUCACGGGAGAGCCCGAGCAGUCAGCCUGGCUUUGGGGAAGCCGCUGGUUUACUAGAGCUGGUAGAGCCAUACUAUAGCUGGUAGAGCCAUACAAGAGUUGGUAGAGCCAUACUAUAGCUGGUAGAGCCAUAAUAUAGCUGGUAGUAUAAACUAGAGCUGGUAGAGCCAUACUAGAGCUGGUAGUAUACUAGAGCUGGCGAAACGGAAAAGCAGCAGGAGGAAGCACUACGAGGCGCGGACACGACACACAUCUCUCCCACAGCUUCUAACGCGUUAACUAGCAGCUCUCGGGUCGGGAAGUAUUCGGUGAUCGCGAUGGCACCUGGCGUUUGGAAAUGGUUCUCCUCAGAAGGAGCCGUGCUGCAGCAGUAGAAGUGGACUCAGACCACCUCGCCGCAGUGAACUGCAUCUCGGAUUAAUUUCCGGUGUGCUGACAAUAAACCCGAGCUGACGGUAUCUCUUGCCUUAUCGGCUGAGCUGUUUUCCAGUGUCUGAACGUCAAUAUUAUGUGUUGUAUCAGUUGUAGGCGAGCUUCCAGUGACGCUGAGACGAGCAGCACAGUAGCUGUUGUUUAAUCCCCUGUAAACUGAAAUCAGGAUCCAAUGCUCGAUGCACAAUGGUCUGUGAAUCAAUCCAAUUAGCGGAUCCCAAGGACCACAUGGCCACUUUGCCCAUGCCAAAUAAAGCUGUUGUGAUGAAUUAAUUGCAUUGCAUUAAAGUCUUCUGAAGAUCAGCAUCCAAUAUGCUCCACACUCCUCCAAGAAUCCAAGAAAUGCACUGUAUUUACACAUGAGGCCUUAAUCUUUUAUUAUCCAGGCUUUCUUUUUCAUUGCAUCCCCCAUUCUUACUUUGGGAUAAUGUUAUUGCUGUCCACCAGGAAGUGAAUUCACUGCUGUCACUGGAAUGAGGGUUCGCUCUGCAACUAUGUUUCUUUUAACUUGCCAUUUUGUGGGUUUUCGGGUUAGGGGGGUGACUUCUUAUGCAAGGCUGUAAAGUGGCUUUUAGACUGCAAGUGUGACACAGGGGCGGGCUGUAAGAAUUGGUCGUCUGUGUGUUUUCCAGUAAGGCUUUAUGAGCUUGGUUGCUUAGCCGAAUGAGGAGAUGUCCUUCAUUAAGAUCCCGUGGUGUAACACCAGUCAACAGAGAAUAGGUUGCGUGUGGAGUGGUGUAACACCAGUCAACAGAGAACAGGUCGCGUGUGGAGUGGUGUAACACCAGUCAACAGAGAAUAGGUCGCGUGUGGAGUGGUGUAACACCAGUCAACAGAAAAUAGGUCGCGUGUGGAGUGGUGUAACACCAGUCAACAGAGAAUAGGUCGCGUGUGGAGUGGUGUAACACCAGUCAACAGAGAAUAGGUCGAGUGUGGAGGGAGCAACAGAGAGGGCCUGGUAACUUCUGUCUGAAUGUAAUACAUUUAUAAUACCUUGUUACUUGACACAAAACCUUUUUUGCGUACCUCGCAGUUUAUAGCCUAAUUUCACGUCAGAAGGAAGAUUCAGGAGACAUAUUACCGUACAUAUAUGAUGUCACCAAAGCGAUCCUCCCACCUGGUUAUAUUGAUUUAACUCUCAGUGGAUGGAUUGUCCUGCAUGGAGACUGAGUACCGGAGUGUGAGAGCGUGUUUGUGAGUGGGCAGCGUUCAGACCGCGACUCAGAGAGAUGGCUAAGGGUUAGCCUGAAUAGUGAAUCAAUUCAUUGAUAACCUUUUUUUUUCUCUCACUCUGUGCCUCAGCAACUAGUUACAGUUAAAGCGUCUCAAAUGGGUCUCAUUUUAUAGCUUUCAUUAUUUGGCCUUUCUUUCCAUUCAUUACAAAAUGAAUACUUUGUGCAUCAGACAUAAGGGAGUAUUUCUACUCACUAAUAUUACUUCUACCAUCAUUUAAGAAAUGUUGUAAACACAUGACCAUCUAUACAGGAACAAUUAUGAGCGGUCAAUAAAGAUAGUUCUUGGCUGCAGCCUGAAUAUGUUAUGCAUGUUUCUCCAGACCUUCGUCAUAAGUCAGAAUUUGUUCAAGCGCACGACCAUGGGUUGUGUCUCUGGGGUUAAGUGCAACGACUUGUUAGAGAAUCAAUAGAU